rnacentral:lncRNA from 1 species
GGGUAUACAUUACUUUUUACAAUUCAUCUUUUGAAUCGAAUUUUCUCUGAAUCUAUUCUUACCACACUAUACGAGUUAUGGUAUGGUGAGAAGCUAGCUUUUGGGUAUCUCAAGAUUUAGAGAUAUCUGAUCCAUAUCAAGCGACAACAGAUGGAUAAGUUAGAGGCUAGAUCUUUUAGGACUCGCUUUAUAGGGUAUCCUAAGAAAUUCAUGAGAUACUAUUUUUAUCUUCCUGAGGAUCACAAUGUGAUUG